rnacentral:rRNA from 1 species
GAUGAACGCUAGCGGCAGGCCUAAUACAUGCAAGUCGAACGGGAUUAAGAGGCUUGCUUCUUAUGAGAGUGGCGCACGGGUGCGUAACACGUAUGCAACCUACCUUUAACUGGGGGAUAGCCUUCCGAAAGGAAGAUUAAUACCGCAUAAUAUAAUGAAGUGGCAUCACUUUAUUAUCAAACUAUUUGGGUUAAAGAUGGGCAUGCGUCCGAUUAGCUAGUUGGUACGGUAACGGCGUACCAAGGCGACGAUCGGUAGGGGAUCUGAGAGGAUGGCCCCCCACACUGGUACUGAGACACGGACCAGACUCCUACGGGAGGCAGCAGUAAGGAAUAUUGGUCAAUGGACGGAAGUCUGAACCAGCCAUGCCGCGUGCAGGAAGACGGUCCUCUGGAUUGUAAACUGCUUUUGUUAGGGAAGAAACUUCCGUACGUGUACGGGACUGACGGUACCUAAAGAAUAAGGAUCGGCUAACUCCGUGCCAGCCGCCGCCGUAAUAC